AGGUCUGUUGAAGAAGAAGAAGAGAGCAUUCAAGUCCUCUAGAAAAGGAAUAACCGAGGGCUUCUUCGAGUAAGAGUGGCCGAGAGCUUACAGGAAAGAAAACCUAGCGCCUCUUCCUGUUUCCUUCAAGGGAACAACUAGAGUGAGUGAAUAAAGCAAAAGAGAGAAGGAAAACGGAGGUGAAACAAGCGACGGAAUUGAAAGGGAAGAACAGAAUAGCGAACAAACAGAAUGUGAAGUUACAUAAUUCCAUUAUUAGGCUGACUCAUUUAUGGUAGGUAAAUUUCUGUGGAACUUAAAGAUUUUAUCACUGUGUGUUUUAGUGAUAGCUCAAUGGCAUGGCUUAAUUGGUGAGAACUUAAUGUGAUAAACGGAUUUUAUGACUCUACAUAAAUCCAAAAAAAUGCUGUGAACAUGUUGGUUCCUACAAGUUUAUGAAAGAGAAAGAGUAUGUUGAUAUAGUCCGCAAACUGAUAAACAUGAAGCUCUUUGAUGGAAUUACAAGAGGAUGUGAUCCGCUGUCAUUUUUGUGCUUGAGGCAGGAUGACGCUUUAAUUUAAGCAGAAUUAUCUAUUAGAUGCAAUUCUUGGGUGGUAAAUACAAUUUGUUUGAGUUUGAUAUGCAAAGCAUUCCAGAUUCCUUUUUUCCUGCCUUAAUAGACUUGGCUCCUACAUGCAAAUAAAGCCUGCUAGAGUCAAAUUCCAUCGCUCCAAUUUUAAUAUCGAGAGUGUGUCUUGUUCACUGUAUCCUGCUUUAGAAUUCUGUCCCCUUUUGUUAAAAAUAAAAAUAUAGUUGUCUUUUUGCUAAGAUUUUCAUUUUUGCUAGGUUCAUUUGUUGUGCACUUUUUCAUUUCUUAUCCAACAACAAGAUCAGUUUAUGAAAAAUAGAUUUCUUGCUGUUUAGGUCUCGGGAUUAGUAUUUAAUCAUCUUCAAGCAAUUGUUGCAUAUGUUGCAUAUGUUGCAAAUGCAUGAGAAAUAGGCUGCCAAGUUUCUGUUUGACACACAACAGUUUUGGUGCAUUUUUCCUGCAUUGGUCAUUCUGCUCCCAUUUGGAGUUUUUUCCCCUUACCAAGUAUUGCAUAUUUGUUUCUGAAUCGGUUUUGAAAAAUGGCAAAAACUCCUUCCUGCUGCAAAUGAGAAACCUCUAGAGAAUGUAAUUUUGAAAUGUUGGAUCUGAGGUCAAAGUUCUGGUCCAGAUCAGAAGUUUUUGGCUCUGGUUUGAUAGCUUGAGUCUUGAUCUGCUGUGAGUCUGCAUAAAGAUUUUUUCAAAGGGUCAGUUUUGGUGUGUUGCCCGCCCGCAUGAAGUUUUUAAAUCUGUUGCGAGCGUGAUCUCUAAACCUGCUUCCCAAAAAAAUGCAUCUUGAUGCCAGGAUCUUAGUGCCAGAAUCAGUAUAUGGAAGCAAUGCAUUAUGAAAAUUAUGUUAUGAAAAGUGGCAUUGUUUCUCUGUUUCUUUCUGGAGUGUCUUGCAGACCUUGUUUGCUCUUUGAUUAUGUUUAUUAUUAUUGUUGUUAUUAUUGCUGCUAUUAUUAUUAUUAUUACUAUUAUUAUUCUUUGGGUUCCUUUUUCUUUUUCUCUCCUUUUCUGUUUGGGGCAAAUACUUUCCAUUUUUCCUAGAUCUUAUUGUUACUGGAGUAUGUUUCUUUUGAUCAUGUUUUGAGGUCCAAAAGUGAGCUAAAACCAGUUGACAAUUUCCUGCCAAGGUGUGCAUAUCCUCUCUUUUUGCCUCUUGGUCACUGUUUUCUCUAAAUCCAUGGCUGUUUACGAGUUUCAGAUGAGAAAAGUGAACUGAUUGGAUGGGUCUUACUCUGGAAAGUUCAUUUUCUGGUUUAUAUUCAUGUUUGGUACCUUAGACAUAGAAGUCACUGGAGAAUCUUCUUUUUUUAAUUAUAAAAAUGUUUAUCUUAGACAUUGUUAAUAUGCUAUCCAGAAUUUGAAUGCUAACAUUUGUUUGAUAUUAAUGACUUGAUCAUAAAUGAGAAAGUUGGCUUGGGUCGGAAAUGGCAUUAUUAGGUAAUCCACCAAUGCCGUUUCUUGAGCUUUUGGCAUGAUUAAAUGUUCAACCUUGUUAUCAACGAGGAGGAAUCAUUUUAGGGUCCUCAAGAGGUCACAUUGUGCUUGUUGAGUUUUUUUUUUUUUUUUUUUUUUUUGUGUGUAAAUUGAGUGUAUUUACCUUUGCUUCUUGGACUAUUCCGUUAUAUAUUAUCUUGCAGAUUUUGAAUUUUUGUAUAAAAAUUAAAAUCUAACUGUAUACCAAAAGGUGGUGCCUAACACCCUACCACCUUGUAAAAUUUUGACCCAGAAUCUGGAUGAAAAUCAGUGCAUAUUUUUGGCUUCUAAUGUUACAUAUAAUAGCAGUUGUGGUGACUCUUCCUAUCUUUCUGAAAAUAAAAUCAAAUGUUCAUGGACCGUUUUCAACUCUCCUCCUUUCCUAUCCUUCACCAAUCUUUGUCCUUGAGCUCUUGUCCUCCCCUUUUCCUUCCCUUCCCUUCUUCUUCCCCCACUUCCCUCCUGUCAGAACCCAUGCAAUGCAGUGGCAAAUGGACUCUGCGAAAAUUUAAUUUAAUUUUUAAGAAAGAAAGGGAGAGUCAGCGCUAACCUUAUUAUAGGCAAGAUUAGACGCGAAAAAUAUGCACCAGUCUUUAUCCAGAUUUGGGCUUGAAAUUUUAGAAGGUUGGAAGGUGUUAAACACCCAUCUUGUGGUGUAGAUUGUGAUUCAGCUUUUAAUUUUUAGACUAAAAAUCAAGGACUGUAAGUUAAUAGAUAAAACACUACUAGCCUCUAACAAUAUUCUCGCUUAGAAACUAAUAUGGCUAUGUUUGGCGUAGUGGAAUAAGAGUAAUGGAUUCAAAAUUGCAUAAAUUGAUGGAAUCUAGAAUAUAUUAUUCAAAUGCUUCUUGAAAUUUUCUACAAGCUUGAGUUUUAUGUAUUUCUAAUAAAAUUUUUAGGGACUAGUUAAAUAGGUCUAAAUUUCUAGCUGUUUUUGAUAGAAUUUCUAAAUUUGUUCCAAACAACCUAUAUAACAUUGUUAUUCCCUAAUCUGGGAACUGUGUUGUUGAGUACCUUGGUAUUUUGGGGUGGUGCUUUUACUUCACGGAAGUAUAAGUUUCAGUUGAACAAGGGAAAUUGUAUCACAUUCAGGAAAACAUUAUAAUAUUUCCUGAAGUAAUAGAUCCAAUGCUGUGGCUCAAAUAGUCAAAUUCUUUCUUUUGAAACUUGUUAUAGCUGUAUCUACUAAAGGUUGUUCUUUGUUGCAGUUAUUUUACCGUCACUGCAGAAAUGAGUUUUUUUUCCCUUAAAUUAAAUAGGGAAGAGUUAUUUUAUUACUUUCAUGACCUAAUCGAGAUAUGCAGUUUUCUUUUGCAAUAUUUCAUUACAGGUCUCUUGUUGUGCCUAUUUAAUUCCUUUGGUUGCAUUUGCUGCAAAAUAAGUGUUACGGCAAUUGAAAUUGAUCCAGUUGCAGUAACUGGUGACUGGAAUUUGAUUAACUGUUGCAGUAGUGCUUAGGUUCUUUAUAAUUUUGUUCUCAUGGGUAAAGAAAGGGCUAUACAUCAGCUUAAGUUGCAUAUUUCUUGAAGAACCUAUUAACAGGCUCAGGUUGGAGGAAUGUAUUUUCUGUAGGGUGUCCUUAUUUUUAUUAAUCACAAGAGAAAAGAGAUACAAUAUUUAUGAUCUUUAAAUAAAAUGUUUGGUUGUGGAGUCAUUACUUGUUUAUUUCUCUUAUUCUCUCUCUCUCUCUGUUUCCUCCCUGGUUUUGCUAACAUUGUUAAUUCAAUUCUCUCUUAGAUGGAUGAAGUUUCUCUUAACACUGAGCCAAUCGAUGAUGAUGUUGAUGAAUUUGAAAUUGAAGGAGACUGUGGAAUAGUAGAAUAUGUCGGUCAAACUAGUGUAAUUCAAGGAGAGAAUCCGCUGCCUCCAGCUGUUGGAAUGGAAUUUGAGUCUUACGAAGAUGUAUAUUUCUUCUACAACUGCUAUGCCAAGGAACAAGGGUUUGGUGUCAGAGUAAGCAACACAUGGUAUAGAAAGAGUAAAGAGAGAUACAGAGGAAAACUCAGCUGCAGUAGUGCAGGCUUCAAGAAAAAGAGUGAAGCAAACCGACCAAGACCAGAAACCAGGACUGGCUGUCCUGCAAUGAUAAAGUUCAGGUUGAUGGAAAAUAGAAGAUGGAGAAUUAUUGAGGCUGAGCUUGAGCACAAUCACUUGAUUAGCCCAGCAAGUGGAAAGUUUUACAAAUCCCAUAAGCACAUAGGUAUUGGAACUAAAAGAACAUUGCACUUAGAUGGUCCGGAAGAAGCACAAAAGAUUAGGCUCUUCCGAACGAUGGUUGUUGAUGCAGAGAACAAUGGGGCUAUAGAUGUUGAUAAUAGAGAAUUCAGCAAUGAUGUUCACUACAACCAAUUGAAGCUCAAGGAAGGAGAUGCUCAAGCUAUUCAAAAUUACUUUUUGCACUCACAAUUGAUGGAUCCUAAUUUCUUCUAUGUGGUUGAUAUCAAUGAGAAAGGCUAUUUGAGGAAUUUGCUCUGGAUGGAUGCAAUGUCUAGGGUUGCAUAUCAUUAUUUCAGCGAUGUAAUUAUGAUUGACUCUUCUUGUUUGACAAACAAAUAUGAAGUCCCACUUGUAUCAUUUAUUGGAGUGAAUCAUCAUGGACAGUCUGUGCUCUUGGGUUGUGGUUUGGUUGCCGGGGAGACUGUAGAAUCAUAUACAUGGUUGUUUAGGGUGUGGCUCACCUGCAUGCUAGGACGCCCCCCGCAGGUUAUCAUUACUGAUCAGUGUAGAAUUCUAGACACCACUGUUGCAGAUGUUUUUCCUAGAGCUUGUCAUUGUCUAUGUUUAUCACAUAUCACUGGUAAAGUUCCUGUGAAGCUGGGAGGUUUUUCUGAUUAUGAAGCAAUUAGAACAGCAUUGAAUAGAGCAGUUUAUUAUUCUUUGAGGCCAGAGGAAUUCGAAACUUUAUGGGAAGAUAUGAUCCAACUGUAUGGAAUUAAGGAUAACAAAUGGGUUCAAACAUUAUAUGAAGAUCGUAAACGGUGGGUUCCAGUUUAUCUGAAGGAUACAUUUCUGGCUGGAGCAUUUCCCACCCAGCAAAAUGAGGUUGUGGUUUCAUUUUUUGAAGGUUAUCUUGAUAAACAUACCUCAUUGAAAGAGUUUUUAAAUAAAUAUGAUCAAGGCUUACAGACAAAUCGUCAGCUAGAAGUCUUGGAAGACAUGGAUUCAAAAAAUACGAGUGUUAUGUUGAAAUCAAGAUGUUAUUAUGAUUUGCAGAUUUCAAAAUUGUACACGAAUAACAUAGUUAGGAAGUUUGAAAGAGAGGUGGAAGGAAUGUUUUCAUGUUUUAGCACAAGACAAGGACAUGUUGAUGGCCCAAUCGUAACAUAUGUUGUAAAGGAAGAGGCUGAGGGUGACGGAAAUAGAAGAGAAACGAGGGAUUUUGAGGUUUUGUAUAACGCGACCGAGAUGGAGGUGGCCUGCAUUUGUGGUUUGUUCAAUUACAGGGGGUAUUUAUGCAGGCAUGCGCUCUAUGUGCUUAAGCAAAAUGGCAUCGAGGAAAUCCCAUCUCAAUAUAUUCUUCCGCGGUGGAGAAAAGAUAUCAAGCGUGUUCAAGUUCUUGAUCAAAGCUGCACUAGUAUUGAUACUAAUAAUCCAGUGCACAGGUAUGAUCAUUUGUACAAAUGCAUUGUGCAGGUUGUUGAGGAAGGAAGAAAAUCUCAAGAUCGAUACAAGGCUACGCAACAAGCAUUAGAUGGCAUAAUGAGCAAGCUUCAUCUUGUGCAAGAGCAUCAAGUGUAAUGUACAUUUAGAUUUAAGGUAGUAGCAUAUAUAUAUAUAUAUAUAUAUGUUUGUUUUGUGUAUUAAGUUACUAAAUCUGGCCUCUUUGUUGAGCCAAAACACUUUUAUUUAAGCAUGCAUAAGGAGGACUAACCCCUCUUGGGAUCCUUACAAGGAUUGAAUUGUAUGUUGACUCUGCUUUUGCACAGAGAAAUAAAAAGGAGAUAAAGCAUGUAUAUAGAACUGUGGCAGGGAUUUCUUAUUGAUAUGAUGAAAAACUUGUGGAAACUGAGGGGAAGAAUAGAGGAAAGAAUAUGGUCUAAGAAUAUGUUUUGUUUCAAUCCGUGCAAGAAAAAGAUUUAUGUAGAGCUCGACAAGGUGCCUCAGGGUAAUUUCAAAAGGCGAUGUCUACUUGGAAUGAAUGGAGGGGGAAGAGCAUACCUGUGAGAUACAAUGGCUUCUAAACCGAAAUAUGAGAUCUGCCAUUGAAUUGAAGUUGAUGACGAAUGAGGACGUGUAUGGUAUCAGAAAUAUACAAUGCUUC
rnacentral:lncRNA from 1 species